rnacentral:tRNA from 9 species
UGCGGGUGUGGCGGAACUGGCAGACGCGCUAGAUUUAGGUUCUAGUGGUUUUUGACCGUGGGGGUUCGAGUCCCUUCACCCGCAU